GAUGAACGCUGGCGGCGUGCUUAACACAUGCAAGUCGAACGAAGCACUUUAUUUGAUUUCCUUCGGGACUGAUUAUUUUGUGACUGAGUGGCGGACGGGUGAGUAACGCGUGGGUAACCUGCCUUGUACAGGGGGAUAACAGUUGGAAACGGCUGCUAAUACCGCAUAAGCGCACGGCAUCGCAUGAUGCAGUGUGAAAAGCUCCGGUGGUAUAAGAUGGACCCGCGUUGGAUUAGCUAGUUGGUGAGGUAACGGCCCACCAAGGCGGCGAUCCAUAGCCGACCUGAGAGGGUGACCGGCAACAUUGGGACUGAGACACUGCCCAAACUCCUACGGGAGGCAGCAGUGGGGAAUAUUGCACAAUGGGCGAAAGCCUGAUGCAGCGACGCCGCGGGAGCGAAGAAGUAUUUCGGUAUGUAAAGCUCUAUCAGAAGGGAAGAUAAUGACGGUACCUGACGAAGAAGCACCGGCUAAAUACGUG
rnacentral:rRNA from 1 species